rnacentral:rRNA from 1 species
UACGGAAGGCAGCAGUGGGGAAUAUUGCACAACUGGGCGAAAGCCUGAUGCAGCUAUGCCGCGUGUAUGAAGAAGGCCUUAGGGUUGUAAAGUACUUUCAUCGGGGAGGAAAAAACAAAACUAAUAAUUUUAUUUCUUGACGUUACCCGAAAAAGAAGCACCGGCUAACUCCGUGCCAGCAGCCGCGGUAAUACGGAGGGUGCUAGCGUUAAUCAGAAUUACUGGGCGUAAAGAGCACGUAGGUGGUUUUUUUAAAGUCAGAUGUGAAAUCCCUGGGCUUAACCUAGGAACUGCAUUUUGAAACUGAAAUACUAGAGUAUCGUAGAGGGAGGUAGAAUUCUAGGUGUAGCGGUGAAAUGCGUAGAUAUCUGGAGGAAUACCUGUGGCGAAAGCGGCCUCCUAAACGAAUACUGACACUGAGGUGCGAAAGCGUGGGGAGCAAAC